rnacentral:lncRNA from 1 species
UUUUGCAUUCCAUAUUUAGGUUCUACUCCAUAUACUCUAUAUAUAUAUAUAUAUCUACUCAAUACACUCCAUAAAUUUUGCAUUCCAAUAUAUCCAAUAUCCAUAUUGGUUCUACUCCCCCUUUUUGUCAUCAACAAUGAAGGGGACAAAUUAUCCUUAGGUACUUAAAACUCAAUUUCUAGUAGAAUUCAGCAUAUUACCAUGAACGACUCAAGGAUAUUCAAGUUAUUUUUAUUAAAGAAUUCAGCAUUCAUUUCACUCCCCCUUUGUUUUGGAAUUCAUUUCAGACUCCUCUUUUUGUUUAAGAUAGUUAUCACAAGAUGUGCUCCCCCUGUUUUAUAUGCAUUGAUAAAUUGUGUCAAAUUUGAACACUUAAGGUAUGUUAUGAGAUUUUUAUGGCACAACACAGAAUCGCAUACACAAAGUUUGAUUCCACAGGAUUUGA